UACGUAGGGUGCAAGCGUUAAUCGGAAUUACUGGGCGUAAAGCGUGCGCAGGCGGUUCUAUAAGGCAGAUGUGAAAUCCCCGGGCUCAACCUGGGAACUGCAUUUGUGACUGUAGAGCUGGAGUACGGUAGAGGGGGAUGGAAUUCCGCGUGUAGCAGUGAAAUGCGUAGAUAUGCGGAGGAACACCGAUGGCGAAGGCAGCUCUCUGGGACGGUACUGACGCUGAGACGCGAAAGCGUGGGGAGCGAACAGG
rnacentral:rRNA from 1 species